AGAGAGGUGUCCGAGUGGUCGAAGGAGCACGCCUGGAAAGUGUGUAUGGGCCAAAAGCUCAUCGUGGGUUCGAAUCCCAUCCUCUCUG
rnacentral:tRNA from 4 species